GUUGCUUCCUAAUGACAGGCGGCAGCGUCAGGCUCUCUCUCUCUCGCCGACGAAUUCAAAUAAUUACGACGUAUCCUUCGCGCCUUCUGGCGCGA
rfam:Xanthomonas oryzae pv. oryzae KACC10331, complete genome.